CAGCUUCUCAUCUGUGGCGGGGGCAGAGAACGAGCGUAGCCCGCCGUUCUACAAGCCUGAACCCCUGGUCAGUGCCCCGGCCCCGGCCCCGGCCCCGGCCGCCACGCGAAGGGGGAGUGAAAUGAUGCAAGACAGAAUGGUGCUGUUUUACACCCACUUGGCCCAGGGGCACAGCCGUGAAGAAUCACAUUCUGUAGCUCUGGCUGGUCGAGCCUGAUCUCCUGCCGGGGUCCCAGACCAGUACAGAAUACCGGACAGCCACCUCCCACCCUCCAAAAAAAAGCUGAAUGUUAUUUCAAAUUGCUCAGACUUUCACACGAGUCGUAUAGUUUUGCUAAUCAUCGUCCUGGACCUGGCUGGGUACUUUGGGAAGUGCUUCGUUCUGAUUGUUCUGACAUUUUAUUGACUGCUUGGUCAAUGUUUUAUUUGCCCUCAAAAGUCUUUUUUUUUUUUUUUUUUUUUUUUUUUUUUUUUUAAAUGGGUAAGUAACCUAAAUCUUGAGCUGUAAUCUAACCCCAUUGUGCCACUUUAGCACAGGAAAAACGUGAGAAAGCACAGAGAUCUUCCUAACUGAAGAUUUCCUUCCUGUCAUUUAUAAUAAGGCUCCUUUACAUCAUUCUGGCAAUGUAGGAGCCUUAAAACUUUCACAGGGUUUUAUCCCCUGUCUCUCUAGGCUGCUCCAGGCACACUGGAACAGACACACUGCCUGACCUGCUGUGGAAGAGGAGCGUGUCCCCUGGCAGACUCUUUUUCUGUGCGGUGGUGGGGGUGACUUAAAUACUGGGUCAGAGUUUGUGAAAACUAGUCCCCACAUGCUGUUCAGAAGAAGAUGCAGCAUUGCAAGGUGGAAUCUGUCGUUUCUGUGGGCUACAGCUCAGCAUUGAAGAUGUCUGUGCACCACACUUCAGUUACUCAGAUGAAUUUAAUCUUGUAACAUCUGUAUAAGUCUGAGAUCCAGCCAAAGCAAGGUCUGUUGGAAAAUAUGAUCCUUUUGAAAUUUUCAGCAGGAUAUUUCCAAGUAAGAUCUUACAGACAAGGGCGAUCUUUUUGUCUUGUUUGUACAGAACCCAGCACAAUGGGGUCCUGACCCAUGAUGAGGGCUCUUGGGCAUUUUUGCAAUUCAAUAAUAAAUGUCCUUAAAGGUGA